GCUCCGGUGGCCUAAGCGGUAAGAGUGUCCGCCUCAGAUGUGGGAGGUUGCUGGUUCGAUUCCUAGCUGAGUCAAAGCA